GACCGCAUCACGUUAAAACACAGGUUCUCGUACGAUCACCGAAGUUAAGCAACGUUGAGUCUGACCAGUAACUAGUAUGGGUAACAACUUGGGAAUACCAAAUGCUGUAAG